AUGAUUCUGGUGAUGGGGACCUGAUUCUCAAUAGUCACAGGUCAGAGCAGAAGGUCCCUGCUGAGGACAGACCUCCAGGAGGGCGGUUGGUCCAGUCCCCACACAUGUACUUUCCUCAGGUUUCCUGAUCCUGCCAUGGGUCUGUGGUCACAGUUCUGGAAACUUCUCUGGGUUCCAGGACUAGGGUUCCUUUAGGACCACAUGGCCCUGCCUCCUUCCUGUUUUUUCAUGUGAUGUUUUCUUCCCACAGGUGGAAAAGAAGGGAGCUACGCUCAGGCUGCAAGCGGUGACACUGCCCAGGGCUCUGAUGUGUCUCUCACUGCUUUAAAGCGUGAGACAGCUGCCUUGGGGGGGACUGAGUGAUGCAGGAUGUGUUCAUGCCCCACUUUGUGACUUCAGGAACCUCUGACCUCUCGUUCUGCAAAGGGCAUCUGAAUAUGUCUGCGUUACUCUCAGCAUCCUGUGAGGAGGGGGGAGACUGCCCGCCCCCUGCCCUCCAUGCCCCAUCUCAACACUGAGUCUCUUCUUCUCUGACCCACUGUCCUGUUCCAGCAGAGGCUGUUUCCAUCCCCGCUUUUGCUUUGUGUUACACAGAGCAGCAACUUCUUACUUCCUAUUGAAGCAUCUGGAUAUGGAUUUUUCACUUCUUGCCAUGAAGGGUUGAUGGGUUAAUUGAAGCAGAAAAUCCUAAGGUUUCAGAGGAAAUAAAUGGAAGCACUGAGAACCUUCCAGAAUCCAUGUGUUGGCUCUGCUGAGUCUGUUGCAGGUGGAGACAGGAGAAGCUGUGAGGACCGAGCGUGGAUGCAGACCAUUCAAUGCUCGGCAUUGUGGGCAUCGAUGUGGUCACUCCUCGGCUGGGUGACCUCUCUGCUUCUUUGUCCUUGUCCCUUCAGUAGAACCUUCUCCCACCAAGACCUGUGAUCACAGGGAUUUGAACAUCACCCAGGUCUGGUCUUGUCAGUGAGGGCUUCGUGUGUCCAGGUCAGCCUAGGCUCAGGCCUGGGUCUGGCCCUCAGCCCCCAUCUUUUGGGUGUUCAUUUGUUGUUUCUGUAGAGGAAUAUGACUGGUUUUGUUCUUGUUAUGAGUCCUGGUCUCAUUCUCCUCUGGGUGUCUCCUACCUGUCAGCAGCAGGAGGUGUUGUGCCUGUCAUUGUUCCCACAAGGCCCAGCGGGACCCUGCACACAGAAGUCUGUGGAUCGAGAGAUGAAUUUUCAGGCUCAUCCAGCUCUUGCCUCCUCCUAGGGCUUGAUGGUUCUUUCCAUCUUUUCCCAAACUAUCAGAGGAACCAGAUUCUGGAAUCAGCAGAGGAGGGAUCCCGUAAUGUCUCACCUUAGAAAGGGGAGGACAUAUAUCGUCAAUUAUGAGACAUGCUGUUGGGAGUUACGUGUCGUUCUUUCUACCAUGGGGUAGAAUCAGGUGGAAGAUUUAGGAGUGGGUCACAGGUCAGUGUAAUAAAAUCUCUGAAUGCUUACUCUGAAACUUCCCCAAGUUGAUUUUGGGGAGCAAACAAUGGAAUCCAAUUUUUUUCUAAUUUACACUGAUAAAAGUGAAUUGGCAUCUUAAGAUGCUUAACCAUAGAGCUGGGAAAACUAUGGGUGGAGCUGGGCCCCUUGUUAACUCUCUAGUCCUGACUUUUUGUUAAACUUUGUGGAAACUUCCGGGAGAGGGAUGC